AGAGUUUGAUCAUGGCUCAGGACGAACGCUGGCGGCACGCUUAACACAUGCAAGUCGAACGAGAGAAGAGGAGCUUGCUUUUCUGAUCUAGUGGCGGACGGGUGAGUAACUCGUGAGCAAUCUGCCUUUCAGAGGGGGAUACCGAUUGGAAACGAUCGUUAAUACCGCAUAACAUAAUUGAACCGCAUGAUUUGAUUAUCAAAGAUUUAUCGCUGAAAGAUGAGCUCGCGUCUGAUUAGCUAGUUGGUAAGGUAACGGCUUACCAAGGCGACGAUCAGUAGCCGGACUGAGAGGUUGAUCGGCCACAUUGGGACUGAGACACGGCCCAGACUCCUACGGGAGGCAGCAGUGGGGAAUAUUGCACAAUGGAGGAAACUCUGAUGCAGCGAUGCCGCGUGAGGGAAGAAGGCUUUAGGAUUGUAAACCUCUGUCUUCAGGGACGAAAAAAGACGGUACCUGAGGAGGAAGCUCCGGCUAACUACGUGCCAGCAGCCGCGGUAAUACGUAGGGAGCGAGCGUUGUCCGGAAUUACUGGGUGUAAAGGGAGCGUAGGCGGGAUCGCAAGUCAGAUGUGAAAACUAUGGGCUUAACCCAUAAACUGCAUUUGAAACUGUGUUCUUGAGUGAAGUAGAGGUAAGCGGAAUUCCUAGUGUAGCGGUGAAAUGCGUAGAUAUUAGGAGGAACAUCAGUGGCGAAGGCGGCUUACUGGGCUUUAACUGACGCUGAGGCUCGAAAGCGUGGGGAGCAAACAGGAUUAGAUACCCUGGCAGUCCACGCCGUAAACGAUGAUUACUAGGUGUGGGGGGACUGACCCCUUCCGUGCCGCAGCAAACGCAAUAAGUAAUCCACCUGGGGAGUACGACCGCAAGGCUGAAACUCAAAGGAAUUGACGGGGGCCCGCACAAGCAGUGGAGUAUGUGGAUUAAUUCGAAGCAACGCGAAGAACCUUACCAGGUCUUGACAUCGUAUGCAUAGCUCAGAGAUGAGUGAAAUCUCUUCGGAGACAUAUAGACAGGUGGUGCAUGGUUGUCGUCAGCUCGUGUCGUGAGAUGUUGGGUUAAGUCCCGCAACGAGCGCAACCCUUACUGUUAGUUGCUACGCAAGAGCACUCUAGCAGGACUGCCGUUGACAAAACGGAGGAAGGUGGGGAUGACGUCAAAUCAUCAUGCCCCUUAUGACCUGGGCCUCACACGUACUACAAUGGCUGUCAACAGAGGGAAGCAAAGCCGCGAGGUGGAGCGAACCCCUAAAAGCAGUCUUAGUUCGGAUUGUAGGCUGCAACCCGCCUACAUGAAGUCGGAAUUGCUAGUAAUCGCAGAUCAGCAUGCUGCGGUGAAUACGUUCCCGGGCCUUGUACACACCGCCCGUCACGCCAUGGGAGUCGGUAACACCCGAAGCCUGUAGUCUAACCGCAAGGAGGACGCAGUCGAAGGUGGGAUUGAUGACUGGGGUGAAGUCGUAACAAGGUA
rnacentral:rRNA from 1 species